rnacentral:rRNA from 1 species
AGCGAACGCUGGCGGCAGGCUUAACACAUGCAAGUCGAACGGUCAUAGCAAUAUGUCAGUGGCAGACGGGUGAGUACCGCGUGGUAACGUACCUUUUGGUUCGGUACCACACAGGGAAACUUGUCCUAAUACCGGAUAAGCCCUUACGGGGAAAGAUUUAUCGCCGAAAGAUCGGCCCGCGUCUGAUUAGCUAGCUGGUAGGGUAAUGGCCUACCAAGGCGACGAUCAGUAGCUGGUCUGAGAGGAUGAUCAGCCACAUUGGGACUGAGACACGGACCAAACUCCUACGGGAGGAAGCAGUGGGGAAUAUUGGGCAAUGGGCGAAAGCCUGAUCCAGCCAUGCCGCGUGAGUGAUGAAGGACAUAGGGUUGUAAAGCUCUUUUGUGCGGGAAGAUAAUGACGGUACCGAAAGAAUAAGCCCCGGCUAACUUCGUG